rnacentral:sRNA from 2 species
CUCACGCGGGAUCUUGGGCUCGGGGUAUUCCCGGUCCUUCCGGUGUUCGAUCCUGGAUCGGACUCUUUUCCCGCGGCGGCUUAACCGGAAAAAGGAAUUGC